rnacentral:ncRNA from 1 species
AAAGGAUCGAUGAUGAGGAAAGUACUCCGUCAAAAUGCCCAAGCGAGCCGGGGAUGGUGUAAGCCCGGUGCAGGAUGACGGCAGGAAUCGCACCUCGGAGAUGCUGUCUGAUUGCCCGGUUUAUCUCUGGAGCAAGUAAGGCAGCCGGGUCUGCCCGUUAUCGCAGAACAAAGCGGCUGUGCUGCCCGAAGUGUAAAGGCUGCAUGGCAAAAAGAGUGGCACCGCGGGAGAAUACCUCUCGUCUCUUGA